rnacentral:rRNA from 1 species
AGAGUUUGAUCCUGGCUCAGAACGAACGCUGGCGGCAUGCCUAACACAUGCAAGUCGAACGAGACCUUCGGGUCUAGUGGCGCACGGGUGCGUAACGCGUGGGAAUCUGCCCUUGGGUUCGGAAUAACAGCUAGAAAUGGCUGCUAAUACCGAAUAAUGACGUAAGUCCAAAGAUUUAUCGCCCAAGGAUGAGCCCGCGUAGGAUUAGCUAGUUGGUGAGGUAAAAGCUCACCAAGGCGACGAUCCUUAGCUGGUCUGAGAGGAUGAUCAGCCACACUGGGACUGAGACACGGCCCAAACUCCUACGGGAGGCAGCAGUGGGGAAUAUUGGACAAUGGGGGCAACCCUGAU